rnacentral:rRNA from 1 species
UACGUAGGUGGCAAGCGUUGUCCGGAUUUACUGGGCGUAAAGAGCGCGCAGGCGGCUUGGUAAGUCGGAUGUGAAAUCCCGAGGCUCAACCUCGGGUCUGCAUCCGAUACUGCCCGGCUAGAGGUAGGUAGGGGAGAUCAGAAUUCCUGGUGUAGCGGUGAAAAUGCGCAGAUAUCAGGAGGAACACCGGUGGCGAAGGCGGAUCUCUGGGCCUUACCUGACGCUCAGGCGCGAAAGCUAGGGGAGCGAACUGG